UACGUAGGGGGCGAGCGUUGUCCGGAUUUAUUGGGCGUAAAGAGCGUGUAGGCGGUUCGGUAAGUCUGUCGUGAAAUCCUGAGGCUCAACCUCGGGCGUGCGAUGGAUACUGCCGGGCUAGAGUGCGGAAGAGGCGAGUGGAAUUCCUGGUGUAGCGGUGAAAUGCGCAGAUAUCAGGAGGAACACCUAUUGCGAAGGCAGCUCGCUGGGACGUAACUGACGCUGAGACGCGAAAGCGUGGGGAGCAAACAGG
rnacentral:rRNA from 1 species